UGAACGCUGGCGGCAGGCCUAACACAUGCAAGUCGAGCGGAUGACGGGAGCUUGCUCCUUGAUUCAGCGGCGGACGGGUGAGUAAUGCCUAGGAAUCUGCCUGGUAGUGGGGGACAACGUUUCGAAAGGAACGCUAAUACCGCAUACGUCCUACGGGAGAAAGCAGGGGACCUUCGGGCCUUGCGCUAUCAGAUGAGCCUAGGUCGGAUUAGCUAGUUGGUGGGGUAAUGGCUCACCAAGGCGACGAUCCGUAACUGGUCUGAGAGGAUGAUCAGUCACACUGGAACUGAGACACGGUCCAGACUCCUACGGGAGGCAGCAGUGGGGAAUAUUGGACAAUGGGCGAAAGCCUGAUCCAGCCAUGCCGCGUGUGUGAAGAAGGUCUUCGGAUUGUAAAGCACUUUAAGUUGGGAGGAAGGGCAGUAAGUUAAUACCUUGCUGUUUUGACGUUACCGACAGAAUAAGCACCGGCUAACUCUGUGCCAGCAGCCGCGGUAAUACAGAGGGUGCAAGCGUUAAUCGGAAUUACUGGGCGUAAAGCGCGCGUAGGUGGUUUGUUAAGUUGGAUGUGAAAGCCCCGGGCUCAACCUGGGAACUGCAUCCAAAACUGGCAAGCUAGAGUACGGUAGAGGGUGGUGGAAUUUCCUGUGUAGCGGUGAAAUGCGUAGAUAUAGGAAGGAACACCAGUGGCGAAGGCGACCACC
rnacentral:rRNA from 1 species